rnacentral:rRNA from 1 species
ACGACCCCAGGAUGGGCGAGGCCACCCGCCGAGGUUAAGCAUAUCAAUAAGCGGAGGAGAAG